rnacentral:sRNA from 1 species
GCUGGGUGUGGUGGUGCACACCUGUAAUCCCAGAUACUUAGGAGGCUGAGGGAGGAGGAUCACAGGUUCGAGGCCAGCCUGUGCAACUUACCGUAGACCCUGUCUCAA